rnacentral:rRNA from 1 species
GAUAGGCUAAUUAAGGGCGUUUGGGGAAUGCCUAGGCUCUCAGAGGCGAUGAAGGACGUGAUAAGCUGCGAAAAGUUACGGGGAAUGGCACACACAUUUUGAUCCGUAAAUAUCCGAAUAGGGAAACCUGAUUAUUUGAAGAAUAAUCAUCCAUACUUGUAUGGAAGCAAACCCGGAGAACUGAAACAUCUAAGUACCCGGAGGAAGAGAAAACAAUAGUGAUUCCGCUAGUAGUGGCGAGCGAACGCGGAAUAGCCCAAACCUAA